rnacentral:rRNA from 1 species
AACGAACGCUGGCGGCAUGCCUAACACAUGCAAGUCGAACGGGAUCCUAGCUUGCUAGGUGAGAGUGGCGGACGGGUGAGUAACACGUGGGAAUCUGCCUUUUGGUUCGGGAUAACCGCGGGAAACUGCGGCUAAUACCGAAUGCCCUCGAGAGAGGAAAGAUUUAUCGCCAGAAGAGGAGCCCGCGUCCGAUUAGGUAGUUGGUGGGGUAAAGCCUACCAAGCCGACGAUCGGUAGCUGGUCUGAGAGGAUGAUCAGCCACACUGGGACUGAGAUACGGCCCAGACUCCUACGGGAGCAGCAGUGGGGAAUAUUGGACAAUGGGGGCAACCCUGAUCCAGCAAUGCCGCGUGAGUGAUGAAGGCCUUAGGGUUGU